AAAGAAAAAAAGGGGUGAAAAGAACAAAGUUUUGUCCAUCUUUGUUCAUCAUAGCCUAAAGUUAGAGAAGAGAAAGGAGAGGAGAAAGCUCUUGAAUGUUCGGUCACUUGGGGAAGAAAAUUGAAGGCGGUUCGUGUGUGGAUCUCAUCAGCAUAUCGUCGCAAACAGGUGAGCCUUGAUGUGGGUGACUUGGAGCCGGAGGGGAUUCAGAGUGGCCAUGGUGAAUACUUUUAGGUUUGAAAAAGAGAUUGGUUUUCUUAAGUUAUUUUUAAUUACUAUUUAAUUUUUGGGUUGUAUUAAGACCAUUUUAACUUUAUUUUCUUCUUUGAUUUUCUGGGAUUAUAUUAUUUUAAACAACUUUAAAUUGA